rnacentral:rRNA from 1 species
GACGAACGCUGGCGGCGUGCUUAACACAUGCAAGUCGAACGGAAAGGCCCUUCCUUUGUGGGGUACUCGAGUGGCGAACGGGUGAGUAACACGUGAGUAACCUGCCCUUGACUUUGGGAUAACUUCAGGAAACUGGGGCUAAUACCGGAUAGGAGCACCUGCUGCAUGGUGGGGGUGGGAAAGUUUCGGCGGUGGGGGAUGGACUCGCGGCUUAUCAGCUUGUUGGUGGGGUAGUGGCUUACCAAGGCUUUGACGGGUAGCCGGCCUGAGAGGGUGUCCGGCCACAUUGGGACUGAGAUACGGCCCAGACUCCUACGGGAGGCAGCAGUGGGGAAUAUUGCACAAUGGGCGGAAGCCUGAUGCAGCAACGCCGCGUGCGGGAUGACGGCCUUCGGGUUGUAAACCGCUUUCGCCUGUGACGAAGCGUGAGUGACGGUAAUUGGUAAAGAAGCACCGGCUAACUACGUG